rnacentral:rRNA from 1 species
UACAGAGGGGGCAAGCGUUGUUCGGAAUUACUGGGCGUAAAGGGCGCGUAGGCGCCUGUUAAGUCGAACGUGAAAUCCCCGGGCUCAACCCGGGAACUGCGUCCGAUACUGGCAGGCUUGAAUCCGGAAGAGGCGAGUGGAACUCCUGGUGUAGCGGUGGAAUGCGCAGAUAUCAGGAAGAACACCAACGGCGAAGGCAGCUCGCUGGGACGGUACUGACGCUGAGACGCGAAAGCGUGGGGAGCGAACAGG